GCCUACGGGGCGCAGCAGUGGGGGAUAUUGCACAAUGGGGGAAACCCUGAUGCAGCGACGCCGCGUGGGUGAAGAAGCGCCUCGGCGCGUAAAGCCCUGUCAGCAGGGAAGAAAAUGACGGUACCUGAAGAAGAAGCCCCGGCUAACUACGUGCCAGCAGCCGCGGUAAUACGUAGGGGGCAAGCGUUAUCCGGAUUUACUGGGUGUAAAGGGAGCGUAGACGGUUCUGCAAGCCAGAUGUGAAAGCCCGGGGCUCAACCCCGGGACUGCAUUUGGAACUGUAAGGCUAGAGUGUCGGAGAGGCG
rnacentral:rRNA from 1 species